rnacentral:rRNA from 1 species
GAUGAACGCUGGCUACAGGCUUAACACAUGCAAGUCGCGGGGCAGCAUGGGGGUUGCUUGCUCCCCCUGAUGGCGACCGGCGCACGGGUGAGGAACGCGUAUCCAACCUGCCCUUCACCACGGGAUAACCCGGCGAAAGUCGGACUAAUACCGUAUGUUGUUCAUUGACGGCACCCGAUUUCGUCGAAACGCGCGGCGGUGAAAGGGUGGGGAUGGGUCCGAUUAGCUUGAGGGCGGGGUAACGGCCAAGCGUGGGUACGUUAGGUGGGGGGUCUGAGAGGAAGGUCCCCCACACUGGAGCUGAGGCACGGUCCAGACUCCGACGGGAGGGAGCAGUGAGGAAGAUUGGUCAAUGGGCGUAAGCCUGAACCAGCCAAGUGGCGUGCAGGAGGACGGCCCUAGGGGUUGUAAACUGCUUUUAUGCGGGGAUAAAGUGGCAAACGUGUGGGCUUUUGCAGGUACCGCAUGAAUAAGGACCGGCUAAUUCCGUG